rnacentral:lncRNA from 1 species
GUGAAUUGGUAAUUCAAGUUUAUUGGGUUAAUGCAAAGUUCUAAACCUGUGAAAACUAUCUAAUUUAACUUCAAACAGUAGAUAAAGUGUGUAUUACCUUCAUCUUUGCCAAACAAAAUUCAAAUUGGUAGGUAGUGAAGCCAGAUUUAAGUUUCUAGAGCCCUGAUUCUCCAGGCUGUAAGCCAUCCAUGACACUCUUAGGAAAAUAAGCAUACAAAUUCUAAAAUUGUAAAUACUUGCAACAUAACCAUGCUAGAAAUAUAGAAAUAAUUGUUCAUUUUAUUUUAAAGUAUUGGCCUUGAUCAUUAAAGACUUUAUUCUUAAUUCACUAAGUACAAAAUAAUAACAUUUCUAAUCUCCUGGUCUAAUUUAGAACUGGGUCAACAACAUCCUUUUUUUUUUUUUUUUUUUUUUUUUUUCUAGAGUUUCAUUUGUUUUCUGAGAAGGAGUUUUGUUCUUCUUGCCCAGGCUGCAGUGCAAUGGUGCCAUCUCGGUUCACUGAAACCUCCGUCUUCCAGUUGCAAGUGAUUCUCCUGCCUCAGCCUCCCAAGUAGCUGGGAUUACAGGCAUGUGCCACCACACCUGGCUAAUUUUGUGUAUUUUUUAGUAGAAGCGGGGUUUCACUAUGUUGGCCAGGCU